UGGGGAAUAUUGCACAAUGGGCGCAAGCCCGAUGCAGCCAUGCCGCGUGUGUGAAGAAGGCCUUCGGGUUGUAAAGCACUUUCAGCGAGGAGGAAGGUGGUGAACUUAAUACGUUCGUCAAUUGACGUUACUCGCAGAAGAAGCACCGGCUAACUCCGUGCCAGCAGCCGCGGUAAUACGGAGGGUGCAAGCGUUAAUCGGAAUUACUGGGCGUAAAGCGCACGCAGGCGGUUUGUUAAGUCAGAUGUGAAAUCCCCGGGCUCAACCUGGGAACUGCAUUUGAAACUGGCAAGCUAGAGUCUCGUAGAGGGGGGUAGAAUUCCAGGUGUAGCGGUGAAAUGCGUAGAGAUCUGGAGGAAUACCGGUGGCGAAGGCGGCCCCCUGGACGAAGACUGACGCUCAGGUGCGAAAGCGUGGGGCAGCAAACAGGAUUAGAUACCCUGGUAGUCCACGCUGUAAACGAUGUCGAUUUGGAGGUUGUGCCCUUGAGGCGUGGCUUCCGGAGCUAACGCGUUAAAUCGACCGCCUGGGGAGUACGGCCGCAAGGUUAAAAC
rnacentral:rRNA from 1 species